UAGGGAAUCUUCCACAAUGGACGCAAGUCUGACGGAGCAACGCCGCGUGAGUGAAGAAGGUUUUCGGACCGUAAAGCUCUGUUGUUGGUGAAGAAGGAUAGAGGUAGUAACUGGCCUUUAUUUGACGGUAAUCAACCAGAAAGUCACGGCUAACUACGUGCCAGCAGCCGCGGUAAUACGUAGGUGGCAAGCGUUGUCCGGAUUUAUUGGGCGUAAAGCGAGCGCAGGCGGAAGAAUAAGUCUGAUGUGAAAGCCCUCGGCUUAACCGAGGAAUUGCAUCGGAAACU
rnacentral:rRNA from 1 species